AGAGUUUGAUCCUGGCUCAGGAUGAACGCUAGCUACAGGCUUAACACAUGCAAGUCGAGGGGCAGCAUGAACUUAGCUUGCUAAGUUUGAUGGCGACCGGCGCACGGGUGAGUAACACGUAUCCAACCUGCCGAUGACUCGGGGAUAGCCUUUCGAAAGAAAGAUUAAUACCCGAUGGCAUAGUUCUUCCGCAUGGUAGAACUAUUAAAGAAUUUCGGUCAUCGAUGGGGAUGCGUUCCAUUAGGUUGUUGGCGGGGUAACGGCCCACCAAGCCUUCGAUGGAUAGGGGUUCUGAGAGGAAGGUCCCCCACAUUGGAACUGAGACACGGUCCAAACUCCUACGGGAGGCAGCAGUGAGGAAUAUUGGUCAAUGGGCGAGAGCCUGAACCAGCCAAGUAGCGUGAAGGAUGACUGCCCUAUGGGUUGUAAACUUCUUUUAUAAAGGAAUAAAGUCGGGUAUGCAUACCCGUUUGCAUGUACUUUAUGAAUAAGGAUCGGCUAACUCCGUGCCAGCAGCCGCGGUAAUACGGAGGAUCCGAGCGUUAUCCGGAUUUAUUGGGUUUAAAGGGAGCGUAGAUGGAUGUUUAAGUCAGUUGUGAAAGUUUGCGGCUCAACCGUAAAAUUGCAGUUGAUACUGGAUAUCUUGAGUGCAGUUGAGGCAGGCGGAAUUCGUGGUGUAGCGGUGAAAUGCUUAGAUAUCACGAAGAACUCCGAUUGCGAAGGCAGCCUGCUAAGCUGCAACUGACAUUGAGGCUCGAAAGUGUGGGUAUCAAACAGGAUUAGAUACCCUGGUAGUCCACACGGUAAACGAUGAAUACUCGCUGUUUGCGAUAUACGGCAAGCGGCCAAGCGAAAGCGUUAAGUAUUCCACCUGGGGAGUACGCCGGCAACGGUGAAACUCAAAGGAAUUGACGGGGGCCCGCACAAGCGGAGGAACAUGUGGUUUAAUUCGAUGAUACGCGAGGAACCUUACCCGGGCUUAAAUUGCAGAUGAAUUACGGUGAAAGCCGUAAGCCGCAAGGCAUCUGUGAAGGUGCUGCAUGGUUGUCGUCAGCUCGUGCCGUGAGGUGUCGGCUUAAGUGCCAUAACGAGCGCAACCCUUGUUGUCAGUUACUAACAGGUUCCGCUGAGGACUCUGACAAGACUGCCAUCGUAAGAUGUGAGGAAGGUGGGGAUGACGUCAAAUCAGCACGGCCCUUACGUCCGGGGCUACACACGUGUUACAAUGGGGGGUACAGAAGGCAGCUAGCGGGUGACCGUAUGCUAAUCCCAAAAUCCUCUCUCAGUUCGGAUCGAAGUCUGCAACCCGACUUCGUGAAGCUGGAUUCGCUAGUAAUCGCGCAUCAGCCACGGCGCGGUGAAUACGUUCCCGGGCCUUGUACACACCGCCCGUCAAGCCAUGGGAGCCGGGGGUACCUGAAGUGCGUAACCGCGAGGAGCGCCCUAGGGUAAAACUGGUGACUGGGGCUAAGUCGUAACAAGGUAGCCGUACCGGAAGGUGCGGCUG
rnacentral:rRNA from 1 species